UAAUUUAAAGACAUAGAGCACGAAAUCAAAAUUAGACAAGCUAGCUUAAGCCAAAAUAUUAAAGUAAACUUAAAUUUUAGCAUUUUAUAAAUUUACAGAGGAAAUUCAGCAAAGUGAAUGUGAAUUUUGAAAAAGUGAAAAAAAAAUAUAUAUCUAAUAUUUUUUCAAGCGUAUAUUAAAGUUAGUGCUACUAAUCGCAGGCAAAGACUAUGCAAAAUUUGUUCUGUAUAGCUGUUGUUUCUACACUGCUCACAGAAAUGUAAUCCAAACAGCCAUUGAACGACGCUCCGAGCACUGCGUGUGUGUGAAAGGCCUUUGCUGUUACAAGAUUAUUAUCAUUAUCAACGCAUAAUCAUUAUUAUUGUUUUUCUUUUGCUUUGUUUUUGUUUUAAUUUUUUCAUCAUGCAAACAUCAUGCGUACGACAUACAGACACUUCACACAUCAUCCGCGCCGAAACAAGUUACAUAAAGAAAUAUGUAAAAAAUUUACUCACUCAGAAGCUAAAUGCUCAAUCAUUCUAAGCAAAGAUACGCCCAAUUCAUCGACGCUACCAAAAAAUUAAUCUCAUCUUGUAAAUAUGUAAUGGCACAAUUCGUAAAACGAAAGGUAAAGGGAAAGAAAAGACAUGUUUAGGUAAAGGAAAAGGUCAAGACACAACUGGAGUGUAGACCGUUUUUGCGCAAAUUGAAAAAAAAUGUGGAGCAAAAACAAACGAAAAAAGACUAUGAAAAAGGCAAACUGGAAAAACUGAUCUGUCUAGGAAAUGUAUAAAUAUAUAUGAAAUAUGUAUGUACAUAAAUUAUACAUAAAGGCUUGAAAUGCUGAUAACAGGAAACUAAUGAAAACAAUUGAAAAUAAUGAAAUAUAAAAAGAGUAAAAAUUAGUAAAAUAACAAAUAACUAUUUUAACGCAGAUACAGAACAUAAAAAGUUACAGUCAUACAAUGUAGAAUUUUUCAGUGAAUUUGUUUAAAAUUUCAACGCUAAUUUUACUUUAAAAAAUUUUAAAGGCAAGUUUGAUAUGUAGUAUUAAAAUAAUUAAAUGUUAAAAUGCGAAAUUUAAAAUAAUUUUUCUGGUCGAUGAAAAAUUCAAAUAUCUACAGUUUACAUAAAUGGCAAGAAAAAUAUGCAAGUCUUCAUAUUUUAAGGAGAUCAUGUCAUUGGAAUUGAUUUGAUUUGAUUUGAUGUGAAUUCAGUCAACUGAAUUCUUAAUUUAAGCAAAGGCAAGACCAUAUA